AUUGAACGCUGGCGGCAGGCUUAACACAUGCAAGUCGAGCGAGCGGCGGACGGGUGAGUACUGUAUGGGAAUCUGCCUGAUGGAGGGGGAUAACUACUGGAAACGGUAGCUAAUACCGCAUACCAUCAGAUGAACCCAGAUGGGAUUAGCUAGGAGGUGGGGUAAAGGCUCACCUAGGCGACGAUCUCUAGCUGGUCUGAGAGGAUGAUCAGCCACACUGGAACUGAGACACGGCCCAGACUCCUACGGGAGGCAGCAGUGGGGAAGAUUGCACAAUGGGCGCAAUCCUGAUGCAGCCAUGACGCGUGUAUGAAGAAGGCCUUCGGGUGGUAAAGGACUUUCAGCGGGGAGGCGUUAAUCACAGAAGAAGCACCGGCUAACUCCGUGUCAGCAGCCGCGGUAAUUC
rnacentral:rRNA from 1 species